rnacentral:rRNA from 1 species
AGCGUUGUCCGGAAUUAUUGGGCGUAAAGAGCUCGUAGGCGGUUUGUCGCGUCUGCUGUGAAAGCCCGGGGCUUAACCCCGGGUGUGCAGUGGGUACGGGCAGACUUGAGUGCAGUAGGGGAGACUGGAAUUCCUGGUGUAGCGGUGAAAUGCGCAGAUAUCAGGAGGAACACCGAUGGCGAAGGCAGGUCUCUGGGCUGUUACUGACGCUGAGGAGCGAAAGCAUGGGGAGCGAACAGGAUUAGAUACCCUGGUAGUCCAUGCCGUAAACGUUGGGCACUAGGUGUGGGGAACAUUCCACGUUUUCCGCGCCGUAGCUAACGCAUUAAGUGCCCCGCCUGGGGAGUACGGCCGCAAGGCUAAAACUCAAAGGAAUUGACGGGGGCCCGCACAAGCGGCGGAGCAUGCGGAUUAAUUCGAUGCAACGCGAAGAACCUUACCAAGGCUUGACAUACACCGGACCGGGCCAGAGAUGGUCUUUCCCCCUUGUGGGGCUGGUGUACAGGUGGUGCAUGGUUGUCGUCAGCUCGUGUCGUGAGAUGUUGGGUUAAGUCCCGCAACGAGCGCAACCCUCGUUCUAUGUUGCCAGCACGUGAUGGUGGGGACUCAUAGGAGACUGCCGGGGUCAACUCGGAGGAAGGUGGGGAUGACGUCAAAUCAUCAUGCCCCUUAUGUCUUGGGCUUCACGCAUGCUACAAUGGCCAGUACAAUGGGUUGCGAUGCCGCGAGGUGGAGCUAAUCCCAAAAAGCUGGUCUCAGUUCGGAUCGUGGUCUGCAACUCGACCACGUGAAGUCGGAGUCGCUAGUAAUCGCAGAUCAGCAACGCUGCGGUGAAUACGUUCCCGGGCCUUGUACACACCGCCCGUCAAGUCACGAAAGUUGGUAACACCCGAAGCCGGUGGCCUA